AGAGUUUGAUCCUGGCUCAGGACGAACGCUGGCGGCGUGCCUAAUACAUGCAAGUCGAACGCUUCUUUUUCCACCGGAGCUUGCUCCACCGGAAAAAGAGGAGUGGCGAACGGGUGAGUAACACGUGGGUAACCUGCCCAUCAGAAGGGGAUAACACUUGGAAACAGGUGCUAAUACCGUAUAACAAUCGAAACCGCAUGGUUUUGAUUUGAAAGGCGCUUUCGGGUGUCGCUGAUGGAUGGACCCGCGGUGCAUUAGCUAGUUGGUGAGGUAACGGCUCACCAAGGCCACGAUGCAUAGCCGACCUGAGAGGGUGAUCGGCCACAUUGGGACUGAGACACGGCCCAAACUCCUACGGGAGGCAGCAGUAGGGAAUCUUCGGCAAUGGACGAAAGUCUGACCGAGCAACGCCGCGUGAGUGAAGAAGGUUUUCGGAUCGUAAAACUCUGUUGUUAGAGAAGAACAAGGAUGAGAGUAACUGUUCAUCCCUUGACGGUAUCUAACCAGAAAGCCACGGCUAACUACGUGCCAGCAGCCGCGGUAAUACGUAGGUGGCAAGCGUUGUCCGGAUUUAUUGGGCGUAAAGCGAGCGCAGGCGGUUUCUUAAGUCUGAUGUGAAAGCCCCCGGCUCAACCGGGGAGGGUCAUUGGAAACUGGGAGACUUGAGUGCAGAAGAGGAGAGUGGAAUUCCAUGUGUAGCGGUGAAAUGCGUAGAUAUAUGGAGGAACACCAGUGGCGAAGGCGGCUCUCUGGUCUGUAACUGACGCUGAGGCUCGAAAGCGUGGGGAGCAAACAGGAUUAGAUACCCUGGUAGUCCACGCCGUAAACGAUGAGUGCUAAGUGUUGGAGGUUUUCCGCCCUUCAGUGCUGCAGCUAA
rnacentral:rRNA from 1 species